UACCUCAAAGCUAGCCCCUAACUAUAAAGCAAUAUAAAACUAUUUAUACCCCCUUAAGCACUAACAAAUAAUUAAACAAACCAUUUUUCCCCCCAAGUAUGGGAGACAGAAAAGGAACUAGGAGCCAUAGAAUAAGUACCGCAAGGGAAAGAUGAAAGAGAAAUGAAAUAACUCAGCCAAGUAAAUAAAAGCAGAGUUUUAAUCUCGUACCUUUUGCAUCAUGAUUUAGCAAGUAAGCAUCAAGCAAAGAGCACUUAAGUUUGAACACCCGAAAUCAAGUGAGCUACUCCGAGACAGCCUAAAUAUAGGGCAAACCCGUGUCUGUGGCAAAAGACUGGGGAGAGCUCCGAGUAGAGGUGAUAAACCUACCGAACUAGAUUAUAGCUGGUUGUCUGAGAAAUGGAUAGAAGUUCAGCCUACUUACUUCCCAUCUCAACCAAUACAACUAUAAGAACCAAGAGAAGUGAGCAGAGUUAAUCAAAAGGGGUACAGCCCUUUUGAUAUAAGACACAACUUUUUCAGGAGGGUAAAGAUCACAACCACAUUAAAGGUUAAUGCCUCAGUGGGCCUAAAAGCAGCCAUCUCAUAAGAAAGCGUUAAAGCUCAAGCAUCAACGCCCCAUAAAUUCAGAUAACCCCUCUUAACCCCCUAAAACUAUCAGACCAUCCCACAACUACUGAGGGAGGGAUCAUGCUAAUAUGAGUAAUAAGAAGGCUAAGACCUUCUCCUACCACAAGUGUAAUUCGGAACGAACUCACACCGAAAAAUAACGGCCCCAAAACCAGAGGGAAUUGAAAACAAAUAAACAAGAAAAAACAUCAACCCUACACCGUUAACCUUACACCAGAGUGCUAACAAGGAAAGACUAAACGGAAAAGAAGGAACUCGGCAAACAUAUUUAGCCUCGCCUGUUUACCAAAAACAUCGCCUCUUGUCCAACCAAAAUAAGAGGUCCCGCCUGCCCUGUGACUAAACGUUUAACGGCCGCGGUAUUUUGACCGUGCAAAGGUAGCGCAAUCACUUGUCUUUUAAAUAGAGACCUGUAUGAAUGGCACGACGAGGGCUUAACUGUCUCCUUAUCCGAGUCAAUGAAAUUGAUCUCCCCGUGCAGAAGCGGGUGUAACAACAUAAGACGAGAAGACCCUAUGGAGCUUUAAAUGGGUGGGUAACCUACGUUAAAAACCUUGGCUAAAAGAAUGAACUAAGUAAACCUUACCCACAUAUUUUUGGUUGGGGCGACCGCGGAGUAAAACCUAACCCCCGCGAGGAACGAGGAAUCCUUAAAACCACGAGCAUCAGCUCUAAGUAUCAAAACAUUUGACCUUUAGACCCGGCAAAGCCGAUCAACGAACCGAGUUACCCUAGGGAUAACAGCGCAAUCCUCUUUCAGAGUCCCUAUCGACAAGAGGGUUUACGACCUCGAUGUUGGAUCAGGACAUCCCAAUGGUGCAGCCGCUAUUAAUGGUUCGUUUGUUCAACGAUUAAAGUCCUACGUGAUCUGAGUUCAGACCGGAGUAAUCCAGGUCAGUUUCUAUCUAUGAUAUGACCUUCUCCAGUACGAAAGGACCGAGAAGAAGGGGCCAAUGCUCAAAGUAAGCCUCACCCCUACCUGAUGAAGACAUCUAAAACAGGUAGCAGGGCAUAACCCUUACUCGUAAAUAACGACAU
rnacentral:rRNA from 1 species